CUGCUGCCUGUACCAGAGAUAUAGACACACAAACUUGCUGCCUGUACCAGAGAUAUAGAAGUUCAGUUACUGUGUUAUUGGGCCAGUUUCCAGGACACAGAUUAAGCCUGGUCCUGAACUAAAAAGCAUGCUAAAUUUAAUAAUCUCUCUUUAAAUAGCUUUUUAGUCCAGGAAUAUAGGCUUAAUUUGUGUCUGGGAAUACAGACACUGUCCUUUAGAGUUGACCCCCCCCAGCAGUUACAGUGUUAUUGGGCUGAGUAUCCUAGACACAGAUAAAGUCUAGUCUUUGACUAACACAACACUAUUGGUUUAAUGUUGCCCUGGAAACCAGUUCAUACUAUGUCUCAGAGCUGAGCCCCCUCCCAGUCUAGGUUUCAACCCUCAGUCAGACAGGGCUAGGCUGGGAUAUUACGAGUAGGAUUUCCAGGCUCUGGUAAUGAUAUCCAGAUGAGAUUUGUAUUUAGCCAUGUUCACACAUUGGUGACAUUUACAGUCUCAGAUAAUAUGGAGAGGGCCUUCAGAAAGUAUUCAUACCCCUUGACUUAUACUACGGUUUGUUGUUACAGCCUGAAUUCACAAUGGAUAUAUAUAUAUAUUUUAAAUCUCACCCAUCUACACACAAUACCCCAUAAUAAAAAAGUGAAAACAUGUUUUUUGACAUUUUUGCAAAUGUAUUGAAAAUUAAUUUCCAAAAUCGAAUUUACAUAAGUAUUCAAACCCCCUGAGUCAAUACAUGUUAGAAUCACCUUUGGCAGCGAUUACAGCUGUUAGUCUUUCUGGGUAAGUCUCUAAGAGCUUAACAUACCUGGAUUGUACAAUAUUUGGCAAUUAUUAUUUUCAAAAGUCUUGCCAUAGAAUUUCAAGCCGAUUUAAGUCAAAACUGUAACUAGGCCACUCAGGAACAUUCAAUAUUGUUUUUCUGAAAUGUGAAUUUGUCUCCCAGUGUUUGUUGGGAAGAAGUCUGAACCAGGUUUUACUCCCUGUGCUGAGCUCUAUUACGUUUAUUUUGAAUCCUCCCAAAACCUCCCUAGUCCUUGCCAAUGACAAGCAUACCCAUAACAUGAUGCAGCCACCACCAUGCUUGAAAAUAUGAAGAGUGGUACUCAGUGAUGUGUUGUGUUGGAUUUGACCCAAAUAUAACACUUUGUAUUCAGGACAUAAAGGUCAUUUCUGUGCCACAUUUUUUUUUACAGUUUUCCUUUUGUGCGUUAUUGCAAACAGGAUGCAUGUUUUGGAAUAUGUUUUAUUCUGUACAGGCUUCCUUCUUUUCACUCUAUCAUUUAGGUUAGUAUUGUGGAGUAACUACAAUGUUGUUGAUCCAUCAUCAGUUUUCUCUUAACACAGCCAUUAAACUCUGUAACUGUUUUAAAAUCACCAUUGACCUCAUGGUGAAACCCCUGAGCGGUUUCCUUCCUCCCUGGCAACUGAGUUAGGAAGUACGCCUGUAUCUUUGUAGUGACUGGGUGUAUUGAUACACCAUCCAAAGUGUAAUUAAUAACUUCACCAGGCUCAAAGGGAUAUUCAUUGUCUGUUUUUUUUAUUUUUACACAUCAACCAAUAGGUGGCCUUCUUUGCGAGGCAUUGGAAAACCUCCCUGGUCUUUGUGGUUGAAUCUGUGUUUAAAAUUCACUGCUCGACUGAGGGACCUCACAGAUAAUUGUAUGUGUGGGGAACAGAGAUGAGAUAGUCACUCAAAGAUCAUGUUAAACACUAUUAUUGCAGAAAGCGUGAGUCAAUGCAACUUAUUAUGUGACUUGUUAAGCAUAUUUUUAUUCCUGAACGCAUUUAGGCUUACCAUAACAAAGGAGUUAAUACCUAUUGACUAGAGACAUUUCAGCUUUUCAUUUUUUAUUAAUUUGUAAAAUGUCUAAAAACAUGAUUCAUCUUUGACAUUCUGGGGUAUUGUGUGCAGGCCAGCGACACAACAUCUCCACUUAAUCCAUUUUUUAAUUCAGGCUGUGACCCCAAAACAUUUCGAAAAAGACAAGGGGUGAAUACUUUCUGAAGGCCCUGUAUUUCAGGAAGGUUACUGUAAAGAUGAUUUACUGUAGAUACAUAGAGAAAUCACAUUCUGACCCAAUGUUAUUGUCAGAAGGUUACGACAAAGAUUACUAGAUGUAUAGCAAAAACAAUAUAUAUGUACUACUACUGAGUAAAAAAAAAAGAAAAAAUAUUUUGUUUGAAAUGUGUAUUUUGCUGUAUAAAUUAUUUUUAAAUGAAAGUAAGGACAAGAAUGGCAUCAAAUUGUCAGACAAUAACACACAUCACAAUACCCCAUAAUGACAUCACAAUACCCCAUAAUGACAUCACAAUACCC
rnacentral:lncRNA from 1 species